rnacentral:rRNA from 1 species
CGUAAUGAUGGCCAGGCUGUCUCCACCCGAGACUCAGUGAAAUUGAACUCGCUGUGAAGAUGCAGUGUACCCGCGGCAAGACGGAAAGACCCCGUGAACCUUUACUAUAGCUUGACACUGAACAUUGAGCCUUGAUGUGUAGGAUAGGUGGGAGGCUUUGAAGUGUGGACGCCAGUCUGCAUGGAGCCGACCUUGAAAUACCACCCUUUAAUGUUUGAUGUUCUAACGUUGACCCGUAAUCCGGGUUGCGGACAGUGUCUGGUGGGUAGUUUGACUGGGGCGGUCUCCUCCUAAAGAGUAACGGAGGAGCACGAAGGUUGGCUAAUCCUGGUCGGACAUCAGGAGGUUAGUGCAAUGGCAUAAGCCAGCUUGACUGCGAGCGUGACGGCGCGAGCAGGUGCGAAAGC